UACGGAGGGUGCAAGCGUUAAUCGGAAUUACUGGGCGUAAAGGGUGCGUAGGUGGUUGUAUAAGUUAACUGUGAAAUCCCCGGGCUCAACCUGGGAAGGUCAGUUAAGACUGUAUGACUCGAGUAUGGGAGAGGGUAGUGGAAUUUCCGGUGUAGCGGUGAAAUGCGUAGAGAUCGGAAGGAACACCAGUGGCGAAGGCGGCUACCUGGCCCAAUACUGACACUGAGGCACGAAAGCGUGGGGAGCAAACAGG
rnacentral:rRNA from 1 species